CGGGUUAUAGCUCCGGUGUAGAGCGCUCGCUUCGCAUGCGAGAAGACUGGGGUUCGAUUCCUCAUAGCUUCA
rfam:Angiostrongylus cantonensis strain Taiwan genome assembly, scaffold: ACAC_scaffold0004322